UUUUCAACUUGCAUGUCGGAACAAUUCAGACAAUUUUUACCACUUUCUUUGGAUGUGAGCCUUUUCGUUCAUCUUCACAAGCUGAUAAGAAAUCAAGAUAGUCGAAACGCAACUCCCUAUCCACAAAUGGAUUGUUUGAAUGCCCACUUCCUAUUAAUCUCUUGUCACUCUACACGUUCCAGUUAUUUUAAGAUAGACUUUAGCUAGAACCAGAAGGUUACUAAUAGAAAGAUGAUUUACAGGUGGCUUAUACCUUUGAUGCUGGGCCAAAUGCAGUUCUAAUCUCAAAAGACAGGAAGACUGCAGCCCUUUUGCUUCAGAGGCUGCUCUUUCAGUUCCCUCCUCAAUCAGAUGCUGACUUGAACAGCUAUGUCAUUGGUGAUAAGACGAUACUUAAAGAUGCUGGCAUUGAGGACUUGAAGGAUAUUGAAGCUUUGGCUCCGCCUCCUGAGAAUGCGUCAACCCAGAGAUGUAGGGGAGAUGUUAGCUACUUUAUCUGCACAAAACCCGGGAGAGGACCCGUUGUGCUGGCCGACGAAAGCCAGUCUCUUAUUAACCCUGAAACUGGGCUGCCCAAGUGAAUCGCCACGUUUCAAAAGUCGAGUUCGUACUGAGAAAAUUCAAGCUGUGAACCUUUACAUUAAUUGUAGUAAUGAGUUUUUCUUGUUAAGCCAUUUUAUCUUGCUUUUUUACCAAAUUAUUGUGUAAACAUCUCUUCAGAAAUAUAGACAAAUAAAUUCAGUUUGCCAUA